UUAAGCUAUAAAGAGCACAGGGUGGAUGCCUAGGCACUGAGAGCCGAUGAAGGACGUGAUAAGCUGCGAAAAGCCACGGGGAGGAGCAAAUAUCCUUUGAGCCGUGGAUAUCCGAAUGGGGGAACCCACUUAAGUAAACCUUAAGUACUGACAAGCCAAUACAUAACUUGCCAGAGGGAACCCGGGGAACUGAAACAUCUAAGUACCCGGAGGAAGAGAAAGAAACAUCGAUUUCCUUAGUAGCGGCGAGCGAAAGGGAAAGAGCCCAAACCGAGAGAUUUAUCUUUCGGGGUUAGGACUGCAUAAUUGAUCUGCGAUUGAUAGGAGAAUGGUCUGGGAAGUCCAGCAGGAAAGCGUGAAAGCCGCGUAUCCGAAAUUGAAAGCAGCAAGGCAGUAUCCAGAGUACCACGAGACACGAGGAACCUUGUGGGAAUGAGCGGAGACCACUCCGUAAGGCUAAAUACUACUCAGUGACCGAUAGCGCAUAGUACUGUGAAGGAAAGGUGAAAAGGACCCCGGGAGGGGAGUGAAAGAGAACCUGAAACCCUGUGUUUACAAGCUGUCGGAGCACGAUAAGUGCGACGGCGUACUUUUUGUAGAACGGUCCGGCGAGUUAUGAUACGCGGUAAGGUUAAGGACUUAAGGUCCGGAGCCGAAGCGAAAGCGAGUGUUAAGAGCACGAGGAAUCACGUAUCAUAGACCCGAAACCGGGUGAUCUAUCCAUGUCCAGGAUGAAGCUGCCGUAAGAGGUAGUGGAGGUCCGAACACACAUCCGUUGAAAAGGGUGGUGAUGAGGUGUGGAUAGGGGAGAAAUUCCAAUCGAACCCGGAGAUAGCUGGUUCUCCUCGAAAUAGCUUUAGGGCUAGCCUUCAGUUAGUCUGCCGCAGGUAGAGCACUGAAUUUCCUAGGGGGCGUCAAAGCCUACCGAAGAAUAUCAAACUGCGAAUGGCGGACAGAUGAUGCUGGGGAGUCAGACUGCACGAGAUAAGUUGGGUGGUCAAAAGGGAAAGAGCCCAGACCUACAGCUAAGGUCCCAAAGUGCGUGUUAAGUGGAAAAGGAUGUGGGAUUUCGAAGACAACUAGGAUGUUGGCUCAGAAGCAGCCACACAUUAAAAGAGUGCGUAAUAGCUCACUAGUCGAGAGGUCCUGCGCCGAAAAUGUCCGGGGCUGAAACACGACACCGAAGCUUAGGAACAAAGAAACCAAGGUUUCUAUAUGUUGGUAGAGGAGCAUUGUUAGCGGAACGAAGCCAUACCGGAAGGAGUGGUGGACUGCUAAGAAGAGAGAAUGCCGGAAUGAGUAGCGAGAUUGAAGUGAGAAUCUUCAAGGCCGAAUAUCUAAGGUUUCCAGGGUAAAGCUGAUCUGCCCUGGGUAAGUCGGGGCCUAAGGCGAGGUCGAAAGACGUAGCCGAUGGACAACAGGUUGAAAUUCCUGUACUGCGAUAUAUCAGAAAUGUGGGGACACAGAAGGAAAGUGUGAGCCGGGAAAGGAAAGACCGGUGCAAGCACAGGAGGAGGGAUACAGGCAAAUCCGUAUCCCAAUCCAAUGGUGUUACGCGGAGCGAACAAAAGUAGCGAAGCACACAGACCAUCUGUCGAGAAAAGCCGCUAUUGUGUAUACCGUACCCGUACCGUAAACCGACACAGGUGGAUGAGGAGAGAAUCCUAAGGCCGGCGGGAGAAGCAUUGUUAAGGAACUCGGCAAAAUGACCCCGUAACUUCGGGAGAAGGGGUGCUCAUAGAAAUAAGAGCCGCAGAGAAUUGGCCCAAGCAACUGUUUAGCAAAAACACAGGUCUAUGCAAAACCGAAAGGUGAGGUAUAUGGGCUGACGCCUGCCCGGUGCUGGAAGGUUAAGAGGAGAUGUUAGAGCAAUCGAAGCAUUGAAUUUAAGCCCCAGUAAACGGCGGCCGUAACUAUAACGGUCCUAAGGUAGCGAAAUUCCUUGUCGGGUAAGUUCCGACCCGCACGAAAGGCGUAAUGAUUUGGGCACUGUCUCAACAAUGCACCCGGUGAAAUUGAAAUACCAGUGAAGAUGCUGGUUACCUGCGCCAGGACGGAAAGACCCCAUGGAGCUUUACUCCAGCUUGAUACUGGGAUUCGGUAUUGCAUGUACAGGAUAGGUGGGAGGCUAAGAAGUGGUAACGCCAGUUGCCAUGGAGCCGCUGUUGGGAUACCACCCUUGCAGUACUGGGUUUCUAACCAGCAGCCGUGAUCCGGCUGGGGGACAAUGUCAGGUGGGGAGUUUGACUGGGGCGGUCGCCUCCGAAAGGGUAUCGGAGGCGCUCAAAGGU
rnacentral:rRNA from 1 species